AGUGAACGCUGGCGGUAGGCCUAACACAUGCAAGUCGAGCGGCAGCACAGGAGAGCUUGCUCUCUGGGUGGCGAGUGGCGGGCGGGUGAGGAAUACAUCGGAAUCUACUUUUUCGUGGGGGAUAACGUAGGGAAACUUACGCUAAUACCGCAUACGACCUACGGGUGAAAGCAGGGGAUCUUCGGACCUUGCGCGAUUGAAUGAGCCGAUGUCGGAUUAGCUAGUUGGCGGGGUAAAGGCCCACCAAGGCGACGAUCCGUAGCUGGUCUGAGAGGAUGAUCAGCCACACUGGAACUGAGACACGGUCCAGACUCCUACGGGAGGCAGCAGUGGGGAAUAUUGGACAAUGGGCGCAAGCCUGAUCCAGCCAUACCGCGUGGGUGAAGAAGGCCUUCGGGUUGUAAAGCCCUUUUGUUGGGAAAGAAAUCCAGCUGGUUAAUACCCGGUUGGGAUGACGGUACCCAAAGAAUAAGCACCGGCUAACUUCGUGCCAGCCGCGGCAGUAA
rnacentral:rRNA from 1 species